rnacentral:rRNA from 1 species
ACGAACGCUGGCGGCAGGCUUAACACAUGCAAGUCGAGCGGGCCCUUCGGGGUCAGCGGCAGACGGGUGAGUAACGCGUGGGAACGUACCCUUUGGUUCGGAACAACUCCGGGAAACUGGAGCUAAUACCGGAUAAGCCCUAACGGGGAAAGAUUUAUCGCCGAAGGAUCGGCCCGCGUCUGAUUAGCUAGUUGGUGAGGUAAGAGCUCACCAAGGCGACGAUCAGUAGCUGGUCUGAGAGGAUGAUCAGCCACACUGGGACUGAGACACGGCCCAGACUCCUACGGGAGGCAGCAGUGGGGAAUAUUGGACAAUGGGCGCAAGCCUGAUCCAGCCAUGCCGCGUGAGUGAUGAAGGCCUUAGGGUUGUAAAGCUCUUUUGUCCGGGAAGAUAAUGACUGUACCGGAAGAAUAAGCCCCGGCUAACUUCGU